GACGAACCGUGCGAACGUUAUUCGGAAUCACUGGGCUUAAAGCGCGUGUAGGCGGGCCAGCACGUCGGGCGCUGAAAUCCCCCGGCUCAACCGGGGAACGGGCACCGAUACGACUGGCCUGGAGGGGAGUAGGGGGACCUGGAACUUCCGGUGGAGCGGUGAAAUGCGUUGAGAUCGGAAGGAACGCCCGUGGCGAAAGCGAGGUCCUGGGCUCUUACUGACGCUGAGACGCGAAAGCCAGGGGAGCAAACGGG
rnacentral:rRNA from 1 species